UGAUGUUCUAACGUGGACCCGUGAUCCGGGUUGCGGACAGUGUCUGGUGGGUAGUUUGACUGGGGCGGUCUCCUCCUAAAGAGUAACGGAGGAGCACGAAGGUUGGCUAAUCCUGGUCGGACAUCAGGAGGUUAGUGCAAUGGCAUAAGCCAGCUUGACUGCGAGCGUGACGGCGCGAGCAGGUGCGAAAGCAGGUCAUAGUGAUCCGGUGGUUCUGAAUGGAAGGGCCAUCGCUCAACGGAUAAAAGGUACUCCGGGGAUAACAGGCUGAUACCGCCCAAGAGUUCAUAUCGACGGCGGUGUUUGGCACCUCGAUGUCGGCUCAUCACAUCCUGGGGCUGAAGUAGGUCCCAAGGGUAUGGCUGUUCGCCAUUUAAAGUGGUACGCGAGCUGGGUUUAGAACGUCGUGAGACAGUUCGGUCCCUAUCUGCCGUGGGCGCUGGAGAACUGAGGGGGGCUGCUCCUAGUACGAGAGGACCGGAGUGGACGCAUCACUGGUGUUCGGGUUGUCAUGCCAAUGGCACUGCCCGGUAGCUAAAUGCGGAAGAGAUAAGUGCUGAAAGCAUCUAAGCACGAAACUUGCCCCGAGAUGAGUUCUCCCUGACUCCUUGAGAGUCCUGAAGGAACGUUGAAGACGACGACGUUGAUAGGCCGGGUGUGUAAGCGCAGCGAUGCGUUGAGCUAACCGGUACUAAUGAACCGUGAG
rnacentral:rRNA from 1 species